rnacentral:rRNA from 1 species
CUUUUAUUAUGAGAGUUUGAUCCUGGCUCAGGACGAACGCUGGCGGCGUGCCUAAUACAUGCAAGUCGAACGCUUCUUUUC